UACGUAGGGUGCAAGCGUUGUCCGGAAUUAUUGGGCGUAAAGAGCUCGUAGGCGGUUUGUCGCGUCGGCUGUGAAAACCCGAGGCUCAACCUCGGGCCUGCAGUGGGUACGGGCAGACUAGAGUGCGGUAGGGGAGAUUGGAAUUCCUGGUGUAGCGGUGGAAUGCGCAGAUAUCAGGAGGAACACCGGUGGCGAAGGCGGGUCUCUGGGCAAUAACUGACGCUGAGGAGCGAAAGCGUGGGGAGCGAACAGG
rnacentral:rRNA from 1 species